rnacentral:rRNA from 1 species
CAGUAGCCGCGGGAACACGUAGAGUGCGAGCGUUAAUCGGAAUUACUGGGCGUAAAGCGUGCGCAGGCGGUUUUGUAAGACAGGCGUGAAAUCCCCGGGCUCAACCUGGGAAUGGCGCUUGUGACUGCAAAGCUAGAGUGCGGCAGAGGGGGAUGGAAUUCCGCGUGUAGCAGUGAAAUGCGUAGAUAUGCGGAGGAACACCGAUGGCGAAGGCAAUCCCCUGGGCCUGCACUGACGCUCAUGCACGAAAGCGUGGGGAGCAAACAGGAUUAGAUACCCGCGUAGUCCCUGUCUCUUAUAC